AAUUUGCAGAGUUUGAUCAUGGCUCAGCUUGAACGCUGGCGGCAGGCCUAACACAUGCAAGUCGAACGGUAACAGGAAGCAGCUUGCUGCUUUGCUGACGAGUGGCGGACGGGUGAGUAAUGUCUGGGAAACUGCCUGAUGGAGGGGGAUAACUACUGGAAACGGUAGCU
rnacentral:rRNA from 1 species